UGAAUACGAGAUGCUACGGCGUCGAAGCAGUCUAUGUCAUACUUCCAAGAAAAGCUUGCACUGUCAUAAACAAAUAAUGCCUGUACCAUAACCGACACAGGUGGGUAGGUAGAGUAUACUAAGGGGCGCGAGAUAACUCUCUCUAAGGAACUCGGCAAAAUGACUCCGUAACUUCGGGAGAAGGAGUGCCUUAUUUAUAAGGUUGCAAUAACAAGAUCCAAGCAACUGUUUACCAAAAACACAGGUCUCCGCUAAGUCGUAAGACGAUGUAUGGGGGCUGACGCCUGCCCAGUGCCAGAAGGUUAAAGAAGUUGGUUAGCAUCCGCGAAGCUGAUAACUGAAGCCCUGGUGAACGGCGGCCGUAACAAUAACGGUCCUAAGGUAGCGAAAUUCCUUGUCGGGUAAGUUCCGACCCGCACGAAAGGCGUAAUGAUUUGGAUACUGUCUCGGAGAGGGGCUCGGUGAAAUAGACUUGUCUGUGAAGAUGCGGACUACCUGCACCAGGACAGAAAGACCCUAUGAAGCUUUACUGUAACCUGAAAUUGAAAUUGGACUUUACUUGCGCAGUAUAGGUGGGAGGCGUUGAGAAUAUUCUUGCGGGAUUAUUGGAGCCAUCAGUGAGAUACCACUCUUGUAAUGUUAGAUUUCUAACUUUGUAUCAUUAUCUGGUCAAAGAACAGUUUCAGGCGGGCAGUUUGACUGGGGCGGUCGCCUCCUAAACGGUAACGGAGGCGCACAAAGGUUUCCUCUGAACGGGUAGAAAUCGUAUCUAGAGUGUAAAGGCAUAAGGAAGCUUGACUGUGAGACCUACAAGUCGAGCAGGGACGAAAGUCGGUCUUAGUGAUCUGACGGUGCUGAGUGGAAAGGCCGUCACUCAACGGAUAAAAGUUACUCUAGGAUAACAGGCUGAUCUCCCCCAAGAGUUCACAUCGACGGGGAGGUUUGGCACCUCGAUGUCGGCUCAUCGCAUCCUGGGGCGGUAGUACGUCCCAAGGGUUGGGCUGUUCGCCCAUGAAAGCGGUACGCGAGCUGGGUUCAGAACGUCGUGAGACAGUUCGGUCCAUAUCCGGUGUAGGCGUUAGAAUAUUGAGAGGAGCCUUCUUUAGUACGAGAGGACCGAGAAGGACAUACCUCUGGUGUACCAGUUAUCGUGCCAACGGUAAACGCUGGGUAGCUAUGUGUGGAGUGGAUAGCCGCUGAAAGCAUCUAAGUGGGAAGCCCACCUCAAGAUAAGUAUUCUCAUC
rnacentral:rRNA from 1 species